rnacentral:rRNA from 1 species
AGACCCGAAACCCGGUGAUCUAGCCAUGGGCAGGUUGAAGGUUGGGUAACACUAACUGGAGGACCGAACCGACUAAUGUUGAAAAAUUAGCGGAUGACCUGUGGCUGGGGGUGAAAGGCCAAUCAAACCGGGAGAUAGCUGGUUCUCCCCGAAAGCUAUUUAGGUAGCGCCUCGUGAAUUCAUCUCCGGGGGUAGAGCACUGUUUCGGCUAGGGGGCCAUCCCGGCUUACCAACCCGAUGCAAACUGCGAAUACCGGAGAAUGUUAUCACGGGAGACACACGGCGGGUGCUAACGUCCGUCGUGAAGAGGGAAACAACCCAGACCGCCAGCUAAGGUCCCAAAGUCAUGGUUAAGUGGGAAACGAUGUGGGAAGGCCCAGACAGCCAGGAUGUUGGCUUAGAAGCAGCCAUCAUUUAAAGAAAGCGUAAUAGCUCACUGGUCGAGUCGGCCUGCGCGGAAGAUGUAACGGGGCUAAACCAUGCACCGAAGCUGCGGCAGCGACGCUUAUGCGUUGUUGGGUAGGGGAGCGUUCUGUAAGCCUGUGAAGGUGGCCUGUGAGGGUUGCUGGAGGUAUCAGAAGUGCGAAUGCUGACAUAAGUAACGAUAAAGCGGGUGAAAAGCCCGCUCGCCGGAAGACCAAGGGUUCCUGUCCAACGUUAAUCGGGGCAGGGUGAGUCGACCCCUAAGGCGAGGCCGAAAGGCGUAGUCGAUGGGAAACAGGUUAAUAUUCCUGUACUUGGUGUUACUGCGAAGGGGGGACGGAGAAGGCUAUGUUG